CAGCCGCCGCGGGAAUACGAAGGGGGCUAGCGUUGCUCGGAAUGACUGGGCGUAAAGGGCGCGUAGGCGGCCAUUCAAGUUAGAUGUGAAAGCCCUGGGCUCAACCUAGGAAUUGCAUUUGAUACUGUUUGGCUUGAGUUCGGGAGAGGUGAGUGGAAUUCCCAGUGUAGAGGUGGAAUGCGUAGAGAUCGGGAGGAACAUCAGUGGCGAAGGCGGCCAUCUGGGACAACACUGACGCUGAGGCACGAAAGCGUGGGGAGCAAACAGGAUUAGAUACCCCCGUAGUCCCUGUCUCUUAUAC
rnacentral:rRNA from 1 species